AGUCGACGGCAGCACGGAGAGCUUGCUCUCUGGUGGCGAGUGGCGAACGGGUGAGUAAUAUAUCGGAACGUGUCCAAUGAUGGGGGAUAACGAGUCGAAAGAUUCGCUAAUACCGCAUACGCCCUACGGGGGAAAGCAGGGGAUCGUAAGACCUUGCGCUAAUGGAGCGGCCGAUAUCUGAUUAGCUUGUUGGUGAGGUAAAGGCUCACCAAGGCGACGAUCAGUAGCUGGUUUGAGAGAACGACCAGCCACACUGGAACUGAGACACGGUCCAGACUCCUACGGGAGGCAGCAGUGGGGAAUUUUGGACAAUGGGGGCAACCCUGAUCCAGCCAUUCCGCGUGAGUGAAGAAGGCCUUCGGGUUGUAAAGCUCUUUCGCAAGGGAAGAAAACUUAUGAUCGAAUAAAUCAUGAGGUUGACGGUACCUUGAUAAGAAGCACCGGCUAACUACGUGCCAGCAGCCGCGGUAAUACGUAGGGUGCGAGCGUUAAUCGGAAUUACUGGGCGUAAAGCGUGCGCAGGCGGUUUUGUAAGUCGGAUGUGAAAUCCCCGGGCUCAACCUGGGAACUGCGUUCGAAACUGCAAGGCUAGAGUGUGUCAGAGGGGGGUAGAAUUCCACGUGUAGCAGUGAAAUGCGUAGAGAUGUGGAGGAAUACCAAUGGCGAAGGCAGCCCCCUGGGAUAACACUGACGCUCAUGCACGAAAGCGUGGGGAGCAAACAGGAUUAGAUACCCUGGNAGUCCACGCCCUAAACGAUGUCAACUAGUUGUUGGUAGAGUAAAAUCUAUGAGUAACGUAGCUAACGCGUGAAGUUGACCGCCUGGGGAGUACGGUCGCAAGAUUAAAACUCANNNAAUUGACGGGGGCCCGCACNAGCGG
rnacentral:rRNA from 1 species